rnacentral:rRNA from 1 species
AAUGUGUGCGGAGGAGAGAAAAUUAAAUUAUUAUGUCUUAUGUUUUUAUAGACGAGGAAACCGGGCAGAAGAGGAGGAGGUAACAAGGAGGAGACGACGAGAGGUACGGGGAUCCGCCGCGAGGGUAAGUAUCGGCCGUUGGGCAGAAGAGGAGGCGACGAGAGGUACUGGAUCUGCCGCGAGGGUAAGUACCGGCCACUCGUCUUCGAAGUCGGAGGAAGCGCGGGGUUCUACCAACUACGUAGUAUACUCCUCCACAUCAUGCGUACUACCAAAGUUCUUUCCUCCGGGGCUAACCAUGAACUCCGGCAGUUCAACUCGUUAAUGCAACCUGACCACCGUGGAAUUGAAUGUUAGCUUCGGGAUGAGCUCAGUCAGAGGGCAAUAAGGACGGGGUGAGGUGACCAUUUAGCGGAACGUAACAAUUUAGGGACGAGGAGGUAGGCAAAUUAAGUAGUGACUUGGGGAUUAUUCAGCCGAAUUAGGUAGUGUAGAGUAGUUGUUGUUUUCCGGAAAAAGAUAUAGAUAGAAGUAGUGAAGAGAUGUAGUCUAAUAUGUAAACCCGCUCACCCACUCUUGGUCGAUCUUACACUAGAGCGGAUUUCACCGUGGUACGUCGUUCAAAGACAAUUUGAUGUAGGUGUAGUUGACGGUGACGGUUGGACGGUUAAAUGUAAUUGACAAAUGUGCCCUUCGAAAUGUGUACAGAAGGGCACGCUGGUAAACAAUCUGUUGUUUUUAUCAACUGCUAAGGAUACCUUACUUAAAGCUACAACAUACAAUAAAGAAGGCUCAUUUGCGAUUAACAAUCUAAUAGCGUACCAUCACCAUAUAUAUAGAUAGAAACCGUCUAGACGUCAUUCUAGUUUAACAACGGGUACGUUUUUAAUUCGAUCUACAUGCCGCAUGAACUCAAUAUAUCCAAGAUAAAUGUCGUGUAUGUACAUGGCACAAACUUUUCCCUAGGUUUAGAUACAAAAUAAUAAUAAUUUGUGGGUAUACUUUAAAGGGACGUUUACAUUGGUACCUUAGGUAUAAAGGAUCCAAGUAAGGACUAUUAUACUAUAAAAAAAAACCUCAAGGUCACAGAUCUAAAAUCUCUACGAUUGAAUAUGUUUUAUACAUAGUCACACGGGAUAAUCACUAAACGUAUAAAUCUCGCCCCUCCAUAUAUACAACUAUUACUAGGCUUAUAACAGUCGAUUUAUACAAAAAUGCUUUGAUUGUCUAAAUACACAAGGUAACACACGUCGUCUUACAGAUCACAUGUACGCACUGUGAUAUAGAUGAAAAGGUUUAUCAUUAGAUCUGAUCCUUGACAUUUUUGUUAUACACUCUUUUGAAUUAGUGAUGGUAUGAUAAAAAUUCAUCCAACGUUUAUCCUAUACAUCAGGAAUAUACUAAAAUUGAUGGAGGUUAAGCGCAGUAACUAGUGUAACAUUGAUAAGGACGAUGACGUCCAAACUGAACUUAAAACCGAAGACAUGCAUAUCACAACCAAGCGAACAGGUAUCGAAAGAUGGAGGGCCUUAGGUAGAAGGAUAACGGUGUAUUAAUGUAGUAAACAAAAACCCUUUAGUUACAUAGCUAUGUAACAAAGGGAGAAGUCACGUGUACGAGAACAUAAACAAAAACCUGACUAAGAAGCUAAAUAAAGUACCAUACGAACCUAUUGAUCUAAUAGAUUAAACUUAAAGAGGUCAGAAAACAUACAAGUGAACGUAUCUGCCGAAUUAGUCAAUUAGAUCUUGGAUUUGACUUCUAAUUUAUAUCGUGUAUAUGAACCAGUAAAGAGGAUUCUUCUAAUUAGGUGGAACUGAAAUUGAACUGAAGGUUUCUUCAAGACUUACUAGUUCGUAAAAAACCAAAAAAAUAAUUUGAUUUUAUUACAACGUGAGACUGUUAUUAUAAGUCUAAAAGAUUCAAUUGUCUUUAGAAAGUUAAAACAAUCCUAAUUAGUACAGAUCUGCUUGACUCUCUCAGUCAAUCAAACAAUCGACGUACGUACCUCAUCAAUAGAUCAACGGUCGACGUACGUGCAUGAUCAGAAACCUGGGAUCUCUCUAAGAUCCUCUUCUAUUCUAGUACCCAAUCACGUACAUCAAUCAACCAAUCACCUCGUUGAUCAGACCUCUGCACUACCGGCUCACACUACCGGCCGCACUCACGCAACCAGAACCGACUCACGGUUUGAAACAUAUUUAUCACUAGAGUAAGUCAUUACCCUUUUCCGGCACUCCCGACCUCUUUUUCUACAUCGUAUGCACACAGAGUGGCCCUCCUUCUCCGUUUCGAUCAAAGGAGACCACUCCAUGCGCACGCACACACACAACUCAGAAGAAAGAGAACACACACAAGAACUCUCUUCUUCUCUCUUUGUGUUCACUCUCAACACUCUCCUCACCUUCUUCUUCUUCGCCGUGGUGCUCCUCCGCCGCAGUUGUUAACCAUAGUACUCGAACCAACAGAACCCCGCAGUAACGAGAACGGCCGGCCUCCACACGGCUGCCACCGCCGCAGGCAGCCGCCGCGCGCUACUUCAAGGCCCAGAGCACAGCCGGAUACCUCCACGCGCUGUGGAGCCGCUCGCGCCGCCGCGACGUGCCACCGUACCUCCGACACCUCGAGGACGCACCGCCGCGCCACCUGAGGUACACUACGCCUCCAGCUGCUACGCUCCACCUCCAGUAGCCGCCGCACCAAGGCGACCACCGGGCAACGCCACACUAUGGCGAUCUAAGUCGGCUGCACUACUAGUCGCAGCUCCACAGCACGUGCAGUUCUCCACCAGUGACGCACGUCGUUCUGUCGCACCACUAGCCACAGCGCUUCCGCAGCAGGUGCAGUUCUCCUCCGGUGUCGCACUACGACGCCGCUGUUCCUCUGACGCCACGCUACGGCGCUCCUCCUCCGCCGCCACACUACGGCGGUGUUCUUCCUCUGCCACGCUACGGCGAACCACGCCGCCGCCGCGCUACGGCAGGCCGCGAUCGUCACCGUCACACUACGAUGGUGCUCUUCUGCUGCCACUCUACGGCAAGGUUCUUCUGCCGUCACUCUACGACGACUGUUCUACAUGCCGCCACACUUCGGCAGUACUCCUAGUUGUACUUCGACCAGCUGCCACCAGAUGCACCACCACACUACGGAAGCCGCUCUACCUAGCCGGCGCUACUGCCCCGCUACCACGACGCUUCCGUUUCAAGUACCGUUCUCCAACGUCCACUAGACGUAGUUCUAAUCUCCUCAACUGUACUGUUCUAAUCCCUCCACUUACAAUCCUAAUUAGUACAGAUCAGCUUGACUCUCUCAGUCAAUCAAACAAUCGACGUACGCACCUCAUCAAUAGAUCAACAGUCGACGUACGUGCAUGAUCAGAAACCUGGGAUCUCUCUAAGAUCCUCUUCUAUUCUAGUACCCAAUCAAGUACAUCAAUCAACCAAUCACCUCGUUGAUCAGACCUCUGCACUACCGGCUCACACUACCGGCCGCACUCACGCACCCAGAACCGACUCACGGUUUGAAACAUAUUUAUCAGUAGAGUAAGUCAUUACCUUUUUCCGGCACUUCUGACCUCUUUUUCUACAUCGUAUGCACACAUAGUGGCCCUCCUUCUCCGUUUCGAUCCAAGGAGACCACUCCAUACGCACGCACACACACAACUCAGAAGAAAGAGAACACACACAAGAACUCUCUUCUUCUCUCUUUGUGUUCACUCUCAACACUCUCCUCUCCUUCUUCUUCUUCGCCGUGGUGCUCCUCCGCCGCAGUUGUUUAAAGCAUGGUGAAAAAAAUAGCACGUAAACUUACUACCGCUAUAAUAGAUAAGAGGCUUAAGGCGAACGUACAAAGGUCAACUUUGUCAUUGACUUUAACUAUUCAUACGUUGCUAAAUACGGGAGGUCGUACUCAUUUUACAACACCCAAUGGUAAAGGCUAUUCAUUGGUGACAUAAUAAAAGAUACACAUAUUAACUGUACAUAUGUACAAUAGCGAGACGAACUUGGUAGGUAGAGGUGUAAUGCGGGCUCUGAAGGUAGCGUUAUUAGAUAUAUAUACGUCCAUCACAGGUUAUACAUAUGUGUUCGAGGAGAGUGUCCGGCUGAUGCAACUAACACUGACUCGCACACACACACCGGCACUACAUUCGAAAUAGAACCGGACUCAUAGUCAAGGGAAAAUACUAUGUUAAAACCUACGAUAAAAUAAGAUGUACAAAUCCAAAGAUGUCCAGGGUAACCGCCGAUGGAAAAUCACUAUGCCGUCGACUUACCGUACGAGUGGUCAUCAAGACAGUUUUGCUUUAGCUGACCUGACAUAAAAAAUACACACAAUGAUUCAUGUUCGACACUAAUAAAAGAAAGAUCCCUACCGUUUAAAGAUCCGUAAUUCGAAAAACUCUGCAAUUCCAGAGAGUAUUAAUUAAUCGGAAACAUUCCACAUAUGACUGUCAUUCGGGUAACGUCAUUAACCAACCUAUUAAGAAUGUACAAAAUAAGUUUACAGACCAAUUUAAUCACAGCCUACGGGGAAGUAGCUAAUGAAAAAACCUAUACUUAAUAAUGGUAUUCUUCAUGAGGGAGACAUUUCUUUAUAUUGUCACAAAUCUAAUGAUGAAAUCAAUAAAUUUGCGAGAAUAUAAAGAAAUACCUCCCUCAUAUAACCAAGAAGUCACAAAGUAAGAAUGUCAUGUGUUUAAUAUAACAAAAUGCAACCAGUAAAGAGUGAGACGUCAGACAUAGAAAACGAAGUAUUAAGUAUACAUGUGUUCUAACUACGGGUCUUCAAAGUAGGAAGGCACGAUUUACAGUAAGAAAAAACUGAACUAUUUGUGGUCCAUUGUACCUCAGAAGAGUAAACAUUACCGUAUCUAUAUCCUUGCUCGUUAAGUCGAAACGAUAUUCUUUCGCUGCCUGUUUUCUCUUGACCUAUAACAACAACUCUCGAUCGAGACCAGUGUACUAGUAGAUAGAUAUAUCAAAAGUUGUUUUCUCUUGACCUAUUAAAAAUGAUUCCCGAUCGAGACCGGCGUACCAGUAGGUACAUAUAUCAAAAGUUGUUAUUUGCACAGUACUAACCAUGUCGUAUUAAUCGUUAGAAUCAAAGAAGACUAGAGUAUUAAACUUCUACUUGGCUUCUCCCCUUACACAUGAUACAAACCUUAGACAGUGUGAUUUACACAUAAACACCAUAACUACAUGUCAAUAAUUCUUUCAAUGUAAAAGAUCGAUAACACGAUGACUCUCC